rnacentral:rRNA from 1 species
AGCGAACGCUGGCGGCAGGCCUAACACAUGCAAGUCGAACGAUCCUUCGGGAUAGUGGCGGACGGGUGAGUAACACGUGGGAACGUGCCCUUUGGUUCGGAACAACUCAGGGAAACUUGAGCUAAUACCGAAUGUGCCCUUCGGGGGAAAGAUUUAUCGCCAUUGGAGCGGCCCGCGUCUGAUUAGCUAGUUGGUGAGGUAAAGGCUAACCAAGGCUACGAUCAGUAGCUGGUCUGAGAGGAUGAUCAGCCACAUUGGGACUGAGACACGGCCCAGACUCCUAUGGGAGGCAGCAGUGGGGAAUCUUGCGCAAUGGGCGAAAGCCUGACGCAGCCAUGCCGCGUGAAUGAUGAAGGUCUUAGGAUUGUAAAAUUCUUUCACCGGGGACGAUAAUGACGGUACCCGGAGAAGAAGCCCCGGCUAACUUCGUGCCAGCCGCCGCGGUAAGAC